UAAUAUUGAUAUGUUCUAUCGUUUAAUUGUACUAUUUCACUCUAAAUGAGUAUAAGUGUGGUCAUAGUGAACCGCGUGGUUAUUCCUCCAUUUCAGUUCACCGGCGCCAUUAUUGGUCACAUGCGCAUGUGUGAGGAAGACAGAUAGGAUUGUUCUAGAGGCCAGGUUUUUUUUGUCCCUUUCUUUUUUUUUCUCUUCUUCCUUGUAUUUCUAUUUUUUUUCCUUGGUUCUGGAUUGUGAUCUUUUGCGAUAUCCUGUGAAAUUCACGUUUGAUGGCGAGCCACCCGAAUCUGCUACAGAGAGGAAAAGACUACAAUUCAUAAAGAAGAGGACCAUAUCCUUUCUUUCAUUCUCCAGUCUUGCUUUAAGUAAGACAAUUCCUAUUAGAGACUAUUGAAUACAUUUUUUGUUUUUGAGAUUGACAAAUACAGGGAUUGACAAGAAACUGAUCCAUGCUUUGAAUAGCAUUGAACACUCUUGAUGGUGUAUGGUUACCCAUAGCCAUAAGUUGAUUGAAAUUGAUAUGUGAUAUAUUUUGAGAAAGGUGUUUUAAAAGAGAAAAAAAGACACCACUCCUUUGAGUAUUUUUUUUAUUUUAUUUCUUUUUGUCAUUUCAUUUACCAGUCUGUACAAUACUUUUCUGUUUUCUGGGGUAAAAGAAGAGUGCACUCUCGAGGGGAUUUUCAUGCUUGAGAUUUGUAUCAUUGCCUGAUAUUGUAUUUAACCUGAUUAUAAUUCUCACUGGAAAUCUAAUUACAUACCAGUUUGCAU